rnacentral:rRNA from 1 species
GAUGAACGCUGGCGGCGUGCCUAACACAUGCAAGUCGAACGGGAUCUCUUGGAUUCGUCUGGGAGUGAGAGUGGCGAACGGGUGAGUAACACGUAGGUGACCUGCCCCAAAGAGAGGAAUAACCACUAGAAAUGGUGGCUAAUACCUCAUGUGGUCUGUCGGUCGUACGGCAGAUUAAAGUGCCCUUCGGGGUUGCGCUUUGGGAGGGGCCUGCGGCCCAUCAGGUAGUUGGUAGGGUAAUGGCCUACCAAGCCUAUGACGGGUAGGGGGCGUGAGAGCGUGAUCCCCCACACUGGCACUGAGAUACGGGCCAGACUCCUACGGGAGGCAGCAGUGAGGAAUAUUGCCCAAUGGACGCAAGUCUGAGGCAGCAACGCCGCGUGAGCGAUGAAGGCCUUCGGGUUGUAAAGCUCUUUUCUGGGGGAAGAGGAAGGACGGUACCUCAGGAAUAAGUCACGGCUAACUACG